UAGGGAAUCUUCCGCAAUGGACGCAAAUCUGACGGAGCAACGCCGCGUGAGUGAAGAAGGAUUUCGGUUCGUAAAACUCUGUUGUUAGAGAAGAACAGCGCAUAGAGUAACUGUUAUGCGUGUGACGGUAUCUAACCAGAAAGCCACGGCUAACUACGUGCCAGCAGCCGCGGUAAUACGUAGGUGGCAAGCGUUGUCCGGAUUUAUUGGGCGUAAAGCGAGCGCAGGCGGUCAAUUAAGUCUGAUGUGAAAGCCCCCGGCUCAACCGGGGAGGGUCAUUGGAAACUGGUUGACUUGAGUGCAGAAGAGGAGAGUGGAAUUCCAUGUGUAGCGGUGAAAUGCGUAGAUAUAUGGAGGAACACCAGUGGCGAAGGCGACUCUCUGGUCUGUAACUGACGCUGAGGCUCGAAAGCGUGGGUAGCAAACAGG
rnacentral:rRNA from 1 species